UUCUCUAAGACAUAAUUUAAAGUAAAACCUGCUCCAUGUUAAUAAUAUAAUUUUAAAUAAAUAGCCGCAGAAUUCUGUGCUAAGGUAGCAUAAUCAUUAGCUUUUUAAUUAAAAGACAGUAUGAAUGGUUAAACGAAAUAAAAACUGUUUCUUUUAUUUAAAAAUUAAACUAAAAUAAUAGUAAAAAUUCUAUUAGAACAAAGAAAGACGAUAAGACCCUAUAAAACUUAAUUAUAAUUAGCUGGGGUAGCAAAAUAAAAACACUUUACAUUAUAUAAAUAAAACUCAAACAAACAAAGACUAUAUAGAAAUAGUUACUUUAGGGAUAACAGCGCUACUUUUUUUUAAAGCUCUUAUAAAAAAUAAUACUACGACCUCGAUGUUGAAUUAUAUACCUUCAAAUAAGCAAAAAUACAGAAAGGAAGUCUGUUCGACUAUAAAUAUAU
rnacentral:rRNA from 1 species